rnacentral:rRNA from 1 species
GCUCGAGUGGCUAACGGGUGAGUAACACGUGAGUAACCUGCCCUUGACUUUGGGAUAACUUCAGGAAACUGGGGCUAAUACCGGAUGGGAGCUCCUGCUGCAUGGUGGGGGUUGGAAAGUUUCGGCGGUUGGGGAUGGACUCGCGGCUUAUCAGCUUGUUGGUGGGGUAGUGGCUUACCAAGGCUUUGACGGGUAGCCGGCCUGAGAGGGUGACCGGCCACAUUGGGACUGAGAUACGGCCCAG